UACGGAGGGGGGCUAGCGUUGUUCGGAAUUACUGGGCGCAAAAGCGCACGUAGGCGGCUUUGUAAGUUAGAGGUGAAAGCCCGGGGCUCAACUCCGGAAUUGCCUUUAAGACUGCAUCGCUAGAAUUGUGGAGAGGUGAGUGGAAUUCCGAGUGUAGAGGUGAAAUUCGUAGAUAUUCGGAAGAACACCAGUGGCGAAGGCGGCUCACUGGCCCGGUACUGACGCUGAGGUGCGAAAGCGUGGGGGAGCAAACAGG
rnacentral:rRNA from 1 species